CAAGAGAUGUUUUUCUGAAAAGUGUGACCACAGUAACAUAGCCUAUCUGUCCAGAGCAACAGUUGUGCAUAUUAAAGGGGAGUUAAGGAGGAAGCAGCUUCCAAAGAAUAUGUCUCUUAAUUUUGCCUGAGAGGUCCUCACUGUCUUUGAGGAAAGACAAAGAUAAACUGGUCAAGGCAGCCUGGAGGCAGAGACCCAGGCUGGCAGGUCAGAUGACAACAGCCAACCUCUAGUCAUAGGCAUCAUCAUCAUCAAAGUAGGAGUCACAAUCAAGGUUAUCUGACUCAUCAUAAAACAGAAAGUUGUCUUCAUCUAAGUCAUCGUCAUCAUCAUCGUCAUCAUCAUAGUCUUCCUGCCAGUGUGGUUCAUACUCCUCAUCUUCAACCUCACUGCCAUCUUCAUCUGUGUUGGGGGACUUGCACAAGAUGGCGUUUUUGGGCCCUAAAGAGGCAGGGGCCGAAGAAGGCACAUUUGAGAGUUUCACCUUAGUCUGAGCAGGAUCUGCCAAAGCUUCAAGCCCAAUACGGAAAUCCUGUGUGGAGUGCCA
rnacentral:lncRNA from 1 species